CGACUUUUCUGGAAGCGUUAUCGUGCCUCUUUCUUUUCCUGCUUUUCUCCAUCUCCACACCUCCCUCCCAAAUUUCGCCGCCUUCGGCCAUGGCUCAGAUGCCGCCGGUUGAGCCCCUCCGUUCCUCCCUCUCCUCGCCGCCGCUGAGCCGCGCUCACGGGCGAAGCCCGAUCGACGUCGAUAGGCCCUUCUCUCUCUCCCCGUUCGGGGGAUGGACGAUGCUGGACGACUCCGUCGAGCGGCAGCGUUUUGUAUCGCUGCGGCCCCAUCCUCUCCCGCGAUUCUCUCCCCUCUCUCCAAUUUACAGACGGUUGUGGGCGUCUGCAUCUGUGCUCACGAUGGUGCUGCUGGCUGCCGAGCCAGCGCCGGCGGCACAGGGGUGCAGAGUUGGCGGGCGCGGCCGCCCACGGGCGAUUAGGGGAGUCUAGGCCACGGGGAGCAUGACACGGGGAUGAUUCUACACCGUGGAGGACCAAGACGACGACCACGGCCGCGCAACACUGGCUGAUGUGCUGUGCAGCGGGCGGACGCGACGACCCAGAGGGGGCCUCACGAUGCAGCUUCACCUCGGCGCGUCAUUGAUUUCAUGGCGACCGACAACUGGUGGCGUCCCUGAUGUGCUGUUGUUGUUGCACGGCUUGGCCGCAGGCAGGUGGACUUCAGGCGGCAUGUUGUUGUACAUUGACUCGCCGGGGCAGCCGACGCAGGUGCAACCAGGGCCGCUGCACUCGUGGGCGGCGCGGUGGCGCUCGGACGGGCCUUCACGCGCAGCGGCGUGAGACCACCCAUGCCGGAACUUGAAACAUGGGAUUCGAGCCUACACGAGCGCUGCUGAGUUGUUGAUGGCCUUAAUUUUGGGUGACGCGAUUGACUAAACGAAGGAACUGCUGGAGAUAAUCAAGCGGCUGCAGAAGAUGGAGGAGGGGCAGCACAAUACCUGACACAACUGACAGCGGUGGCGCGUUGUUGAGCACCAGAUUAAGGCUGCCUACAUAUUUCACUCCAGAGCACCAUAUUAAGGUUGAUUUGAUUGCAGCAUUUACAUUUACAUGAAGGGUUGUUUCCAUGAAUAAAUUGCAUGGAGGUUAGUUGAUAAUCUUCUGUCUGGUUAGUGCUUCAAUAAGGAGAAUUUUGCAAAUUGUGCAUCGUGUUUUAGUUAGUGAACAGUUACCGAAUACGGUGACUGUUCUUGACCUAUAGUUUUUCAGAGCGCAAGGUAUCAUCUAAUUUGUACGACACACUUUGCUCAUUAGAGUUAACACUACUCUUGGUGCCACAACAGUUUGCUGUUCUAUCAGUCCACACCUAUGCCUUAAGGAGGAACUCAGGACCAGCUGCUGCAUCAGCCAAAAAAGUACUUCUUCCGUCGUUGGACAAAUAGGUCACUGGGAGAUACUCUCGGCUUUUCAUUCUACUCCAAAAGAUGGUGUAUAAAAGUGACAGUGCUUACAUAUUAAUGAUGUACAGUGUGCAAUAAAUAUAACAUGUACCUCAAGGUUGUAAGUUUAAUGUUCUCUAAGAGUGCUACUAUGUAAAGAAUAAUUGCAAAUAUCUUAUAUGUACAUAUAUUUUUACCUUGGAAACACCUACAAUGUUGUAGGUGACUCGUGUAGUUUCUAUUGAAAAGGUAACAUUCAGGUGUUGUAAAUGUCUUCCAUAAUCUGAUGCCAAGUAGGCAGAGGAUGAGUAUUUUCAUAACUUA